GACGAACGCUGGCGGCGUGCUUAACACAUGCAAGUCGAACGGAAAGGCCUCUUUCGGGGGGUACUCGAGUGGCGAACGGGUGAGUAACACGUGAGUAACCUGCCCUUGACUUUGGGAUAACUUCAGGAAACUGGGGCUAAUACCGGAUAGGAGCUCCUGCUGCAUGGUGGGGGUUGGAAAGUUUCGGCGGUUGGGGAUGGACUCGCGGCUUAUCAGCUUGUUGGUGGGGUAGUGGCUUACCAAGGCUUUGACGGGUAGCCGGCCUGAGAGGGUGACCGGCCACAUUGGGACUGAGAUACGGCCCAGACUCCUACGGGGGGCAGCAGUGGGGAAGAUUGCACAAGGGGUGGAAGCCUGAUGCAGCAACGCCGUGUGCGGGAUGACGGCCUUCGGGUUGUAAACCGCUUUCGCUCAUGACGAAGCUUUGUGUGACGGUAGUGGGUAAAGAAGCACCGGCUAACUACGUG
rnacentral:rRNA from 1 species